rnacentral:rRNA from 1 species
GACGAACGCUGGCGGCGUGCUUAACACAUGCGAGUCGAACGGAAAGGCCCUGCUUUUGUGGGGUGCUCGAGUGGCGAACGGGUGAGUAACACGUGAGUAACCUGCCCUUGACUUUGGGAUAACUUCAGGAAACUGGGGCUAAUACCGGAUAGGAGCUCCUGCUGCAUGGUGGGGGUUGGAAAGUUUCGGCGGUUGGGGAUGGACUCGCGGCUUAUCAGCUUGUUGGUGGGGUAGUGGCUUACCAAGGCUUUGACGGGUAGCCGGCCUGAGAGGGUGACCGGCCACAUUGGGACGGAGAUACGGCCCAGACUCCUACGGGAGGCAGCAGUGGGGAAUAUUGCACAAUGGGCGGAAGCCUGAUGCAGCAACGCCGCGUGCGGGAUGACGGCCUUCGGGUUGUAAACCGCUUUCGCCUGUGACGAAGCGUGAGUGACGGUAAUGGGUAAAGAAGCACCGGCUAACUACGUG